rnacentral:rRNA from 1 species
UACGUAGGGGGCGAGCGUUGUCCGGAGUUACUGGGCGUAAAGGGCACGCAGGCGGUGCGGCGCGUUUCGCGUGACAGCGGAGGGCUUAACUCUCCGAGGAUGCGAAAGACGGCGGCACUUGAGGGCCAGAGAGGGACACGGAAUUCCGGGUGGAGUGGUGAAAUGCGUAGAGAUCCGGAGGAACACCGAAGGCGAAGGCAGUCUGCUGGGCAGUAGCUGACACUGAGGCGCGACAGCGUGGGGAGCAAACAGG